rnacentral:tRNA from 1 species
GAGAGCAUAACUCAGUUGGUAGAGUAACUGACUUUUAAUCAGUGUUGCGUAGGUUCGAGCCCUACUGUUCUCC